ACGUGCAGAAUAACCCUGCGAAAGCAGAGACCUAAUACUGUCAUGUGGUUGUCGGAUGGCAUCAUCUGUACAACUAAAGUCGCAAGACGCUCUCAGAGUGGGCCCGCGGCCUAUUAGCUAGUUGGUGAGGUAACGGCCCACCAAGGCAAUGAUGGGUAGCUGGUCUGAGAGGACGGACAGCCACACUGGGACUGAGACACGGCCCAG
rnacentral:rRNA from 1 species